rnacentral:rRNA from 1 species
GACGAACGCUGGCGGCGUGCUUAACACAUGCAAGUCGAACGGAAAGGCCCUGCUUUUGUGGGGUGCUCGAGUGGCGAACGGGUGAGUAACACGUGAGUAACCUGCCCUUGACUUUGGGAUAACUUCAGGAAACUGGGGCUAAUACCGGAUAGGAGCUCCUGCUGCAUGGUGGGGGUUGGAAAGUUUCGGCGGUUGGGGAUGGACUCGCGGCUUAUCAGCUUGUUGGUGGGGUAGUGGCUUACCAAGGCUUUGACGGGUAGCCGGCCUGAGAGGGUGACCGGCCACAUUGGGACGGAGUGACGGCCCAGACUCCUACGGGAGGGAGGAGGGGGGAAUAUAGCACAAAGGGCGGGAGCCUGACGCAGCAACGCCGCGUGCGGGAGGACGGCAUUCGGGUGGUAAACCGAUUUCGCCUGUGACGAAGCGUGAGGGACGGUAAUGGGUAAAGAAGCACCGGCUAACUACGU